rnacentral:rRNA from 1 species
UACAGAGGGUGCGAGCGUUGUCCGGAAUCACUGGGCGUAAAGGGCGCGUAGGCGGCCACCGCAAGUCGAUUGUGAAAUCUCCGGGCUUAACCCGGAAAGGUCAACCGAUACUGCGGGGCUAGAGUGCAGAAGGGGCAACUGGAAUUCUCGGUGUAGCGGUGAAAUGCGUAGAUAUCGAGAGGAACACCUGCGGCGAAGGCGGGUUGCUGGGCUGACACUGACGCUGAAGUGCGAAAGCUAGGGGAGCGAACGGG